AGCUGUUGGAUGUGGAGCCUGGCUCUGGGGACUGGAGGAACUCAUAGGUCAGCUGUUGGCUGUGGAGCCUGGCUCUGGGGACUGGAGGAACUCAUAGGUCAGCUGUUGGAUGUGGAGCCUGGCUCUGGGGACUGGAGGAACUCAUAGGUCAGCUGUUGGAUGUGGAGCCUGGCUCUGGAGACUGGAGGAACUCAUAGGUCAGCUGUUGGAUGUGGAGCCUGGCUCUGGGGACUGGAGGAACUCAUAGGUCAGCUGUUGGAUGUGGAGCCUGGCUCUGGGGACUGGAGGAACUCAUAGGUCAGCUGUUGGAUGUGGAGCCUGGCUCAGGAGACUGGAGGAACUCAUAGGUCAGCUGUUGGAUGUGGAGCCUGGCUCUGGGGACUGGAGGAACUCAUAGGUCAGCUGUUGGAUGUGGAGCCUGGCUCUGGGGACUGGAGGAACUCAUAG
rnacentral:lncRNA from 1 species